CCUGGCUUAGAACGAACGCUGGCGGCAUGCCUAAUACAUGCAAGUCGAACGGAGAUAGCAAUAUCUUAGUGGCGAACGGGUGCGUAACACGUGAGCAACCUGCCUUAUACAUCGGAAUAACAGCUGGAAACGGCUGCUAAUACCGGAUAAGACCACACCAAGGCAUCUUGGAGAGGUCAAAGCGAAUUAGCGGUAUAAGAUGGGCUCGCGUCCAAUUAGCUAGUUGGUGGGGUAACGGCCACCAAGGCAACGAUUGGUAGCCGACUUGAGAGAGUGAUCGGCCACACUGGAACUGAGACACGGUCCAGACUCCUACGGGAGGCAGCAGUAGGGAAUAUUGGGCAAUGGAGGAAACUUACCUUACCCAGCAAUGCCGCGUGAAUGAUGAAGGUCUUAUGGAUUGUAAAGUUCUUUAAUUGGGGACGAAAGAAAUGACGGUACCCAAAGAAUAAGCCCCGGCUAACUAUGUGCCAGCAGCCGC
rnacentral:rRNA from 1 species